GGCCUGGUGGCGGAUGGUCCGCGCCCACUUUCAAUAUAUCGGAAGCGUCAGUGACUGUGGGUCUCCCGUUCGAUUCGGGACUAGGCCG